UACGUAAGGUGCGAGCGUUAAUCGGAAUUACUGGGCGUAAAGCGUGCGCAGGCGGUUCGUUGUGUCGGCGGUGAAAGCCCCGGGCUCAACCCAGGAAGUGCAUUCGAAACUGCAGAGCUGGAGUCCUGGAGAGGAAGGCGGAAUUCGUCGGUGUAGAGGUGAAAUUCGUAGAUAUCGAGAGGAACACCGGUGGCGAAGGCGGCCUUCUGGACAGUGACUGACGCUGAGACGCGAAAGCGUGGGGAGCAAACAGG
rnacentral:rRNA from 1 species